rnacentral:lncRNA from 1 species
GUUUUCGAUGGUGCUUGCGAGUGGUAUGAAGAUGAGAAUUAGGGAGAAGUAGAGGAUUGAGGCCAGUUGGCCGAUAAUUACGUAUGGGUGUUCCACUGGCUGGCCGCCGAUUCAUGUUAGUGUUAGUAAGUCUGCUACUAAGAGUCAGAACACGCAUUGACUAAGAGGUCGGAAUAUUAUGCUUCGUUGUUUUGAUAUGUGUAGGGUGGGGAUGAGUGCUAAGAUUAAGAUGGAAAGGAUAAGGGCUAAUACGCUGCCUAGUUUGUUGGGAAUAGAGCGUAGGAUGGCGUAGGCAAAUAGGAAGUAUCAUUCUGGCUUAAUAUGAGGGGGAGUGCUGAGAGGGUUAGCUGGGGUGUAGUUGUCCGGGUCUCCUAGGAGGUCAGGGGAGAAUAAUACUAGGGUCAGUAGGAGCAGGAUUAGGAGGAGGAGUCCUAGGAUAUCUUUAAUUGUGUAGUACGGGUGGAAUGGGAUUUUGUCUAUGUCAGAUGGGAUUCCUGAGGGGUUGUUGGAUCCUGUUUCGUGGAGGAAUAGUAAAUGGACGAUUACCAGGGCUGUGAUGAUAAAGGGUAGGAUGAAGUGGAAGGCAAAAAAUCGGGUAAGGGUGGCUUUGUCUACAGAGAAUCCACCUCAGAUUCACUUGACGAGGGUAGUACCGAUGUAGGGGAUUGCUGAUAGGAGGUUUGUAAUGACCGUUGCUCCUCAGAAGGAUAUUUGACCUCAUGGUAGGACAUAGCCUAUGAAUGCUGUGGCUAUUACUGUGAAAAGUAGGAUAAUUCCAAUGUUUCAUGUAUCUAGGAAUGUGUAGGAGCCAUAGUAGAGGCCGCGUCCUACGUGGAUGAAGAGGCAGAUGAAAAAAUAUGGAUGCUCCGUUGGCAUGGAGGUAGCGAAUGAUUCAUCCGUAGUUAACGUCUCGGCAGAUAUGGGUGACGGAUGAGAAGGCAGUUGUUGUGUCUGAUGUGUAGUGUAUGGCUAGGAAUCAGGCUAUGGCUAUGAUGAAGCCAAUGUCUCCGAUGCGGUUGUAUAGGAUUGCUUGGAGGGCCGCAGUGUUGGCAUCUGUUCGACCAUAUCAUCAUCCGAUUAGUAAGAAUGAUAUGAUGCCUACUCCUUCUCAUCCGAUGAACAGUUGGAAGAGGUUGUUGGCUGUGACUAAGAUUAUUAUGGUGAUGAGGAAUGUGAGUAGGUAUUUAAAAAAUCGGGUAAUGUAAGGAUCUGAGUGCAUGUAUCAUAGAGAGAAUUCUAUGAUAGAUCAUGUUACGAAUAGGGCUACUGGUACAAAGACCAUUGAGAAGUAGUCUAGUUUGAAGCUUAGAGAUAGUUUGAGGGUUUGUAUAGUUACUCAGUGUCAGUUUGAGAUGAUUGUUUCUUGUCCAGAGUGGAUGAAUAUUAUAGUGGGAAUUAGGCUGGUAAUGAAGGCAUAUGAGAUAAUAUUUUUUACGUGAUGUGGAUACGUGCUGUUUUUGUGGGUAUUGAGGAUUGAUGAUAUGAUUGGCAGGGUUAAUGCUGACAGUGAAACUAGUAUGAGGGAGGAGAAUAUGUUAAUUACUUUUACUUGGAGUUGCACCAAUUUUUUGGUUCCUAAGACCAACGGAUAGCUCCUAUCCUUUAAAAGUUUGAGAGAGCCAUGUUUGUCAGACACGGAGGCAUGAAUUAGCAGUUCUUGCAUACUUUCUCGGUAAAUAAGAAAUAUUGAGUUUCUAUUUCUAGAUCCACAAUCUAGUGUUUUUGUUAAACUAUAUUUACAGUACGUAAAGCCUAGGAUGAUUUUGGGGUUAAGUGAUAGGAGUAGUAGGGGAGUCAUGUGGAGGGCUAUGAGUGCGUUUUCUCGUGUAAAUGAGAGUUUAAUGUUAUUGAUAUGGUGUGUGUAUUUUCCUCGUUGUGUAGUGAUUAGCAUAUAGAGGGAGUAGAGAGCGGUGAUGGUGAUGUUAGCUCCUAUAAGGAUGAUAGUAAUAUUUGAUCAUGAGAAUGAUGAUAUUACUACGAAUAGUUCUCCGAUUAGGUUAAUGCUGGGAGGGAGGGGCCAGGUUGGUUAGGCUGGCUAAUAGUCAUCAGGCUGCCAUGAGGGGAAGGAGUGUUUGAAGUCCGCGGGCCAGGAUUAUGGUUCGGCUGUGAGUGCGUUCGUAAUUUGAGUUUGCUAGGCAGAAUAGUAUUGAUGACGUAAGACCGUGGGCGAUUAUUAGGGCUGUGGCCCCUAUAUAGCUUCAUGGUGUUUGGAUAAGGACGGCUACAAUUACUAGGGCUAUAUGGCUGACAGAGGCUGACCCCUGAGUUUAUGAAAGCCAAGACCCUGCCCCAUUGUCAAGUGAGCACUUUGGAGAGAAGUUCUUAAAGGACCUAGAGUCCCAGAAAGUAAGCUGGAGACUCGAAAAGCUAUAGAACAGAGCUGUCCAAUAGAACUUUCUGCAACAAUGAAUGAACUUCUCUAUAUUUGUGCCAUCUAAUACAGUAACCACUAGCUCCGUGUGGUUAUUGAGCGCGCGAAAUAUAGCUAGUGUGACUAAGUAACUGGAUUUUAAAUCUCAUNUGAGUUUGCUAGGCAGAAUAGUAUUGAUGACGUAAGACCGUGGGCGAUUAUUAGGGCUGUGGCCCCUAUAUAGCUUCAUGGUGUUUGGAUAAGGAUAGCUAGUGUGACUAAGUAACUGGAUUUUAAAUCUCAUUUUAUUUUAAGCAACUUAAAUAUAAAUAGCUACAUGUGGCUAGUGGCUACCGUAUUGGACAGCACAGCUACAGAAACUACAAACGAGUGGUUCUCAAACUUAAGCAUGCAUCACAAUCACCUAGAGGCCUGAUAAAACACAGAUUACUGGAUCCUCCCCUCUAAAGUUUCAGAUUGAAUGGGUAUGGAGUGAGGGUUCUAGAAUUUGCACUUUUAACAAGUUCCCAGAUGAUUUUGAUGCUGUUGGACCCACACCUUGAGAGCCACUAAACUGUCACCCAACUUUCAGAUUCCCAGAACAGAGUGUGGUGCCAGAGAGAGAAGCACUGACAGGUAUAUAAUUACUGGCUUAAAAUAGACACACACACACACACACACACACACACCAGAUAGUCACUGGAUUUCCUACAAUUGCCCCUAGUACACUAGGAGAACAGGAAAGGUGGAGUUCAUCAAGGUCAUGAACAGUUUUGCUUUGUCUUGGAAAAGAUGAGGUUUACUUUUAAAUCAGAACAUAGUGCAUGGCUGCCUGUGUGGCCCUGAGUCUUCGUUCCACUCAAGCAGGGGGCAAAAGAGAAAAUCCUAUAUCAGCAUGACCUAACUAGACACCUGGCAAAACUCAUAUGUCAGGAAACUUGAUUAAUUUUUCUCUUGCUAGGCGUAGCAUCAGCAAAGCACCUAAUUUAUCCUAGGAAUGUUCUAUUAAAUACCAGUGGGGGUCAAAUGCAGCCUCCAUCCCUGGAAAACCUAUAUUUUAGGUAUAGGGAAGAAAAGAGAGGCUCCCAACCCUCUUUUAACAUUUUUUUCUCAUUUAAAAAGGCAGAAGUAGAGGGAUCUGCUGUUGUAAUACAACAGAGGAAUUUCAAAGACGUGACCUUUGUGUCUUAGUCCUAAUAUUAUAAAUAAACUUUUCUAAGUGGAAGAAUAACA